AAGUGUACCAUACCACCACCCCCUGCCCAUUCUUCAUAUAUUUUGUGGCGGUCGGUCAGUUCAUCAAAACACACAAAACAAGAACCAAACUUAAAUUUCAGUUCUAGCGGCCAGCAAUACUAGAACACACACACGCAAAGUACUUAAGAAUGCGUGUGUACAGAAAUUACCCUCUAGUACUGGCGGUGGCGAUCGACCAUGCCCGAACUUCUGAUUUGGCUGGUUCUUACAUAGGUACUUUCCAGACUAACCCUAGGGUAAACGAACGCCGAACUACUCAAAGAAGAAACAAAAAGUGUUGCUCUGUAUACUCUACAACCCACCGCGCACCAGCCACCGAACUAGUUCGGUAGUAGACGAAGAAACGAAAAAGCAUGAGAGGAAAAUGAAGAGAGCAGGUAGCUAAAAAUGAUGCUGAUCUGCUCUUCUCCUUUCCCUUUUCUGUUUUCGUUUGUGCCUUUGUGCAAAUCAGUGCGGCUGUCCAAGUGAUUAUAAUUAUUCAAUUUUAAACAGUAAGUCAAAGCAAAUGUAUAGCGAACGGCAUUUGCGUAGGCUGAAUAAAGAAAUAUAAGACAAAUAUGCAGCCAAACAUAAUUGUGUUAGCGGAGAAACAGUGUCGUGCAGUGAAAUAGAAAAAGUUGAAGGCCGCGAAAUAGGAGAGACAAUCGACGAAAAUGAAAAAAUGGAAAGUGACACUGAAAAAUAUGCCAUAACAGUAGACACGGGGACUGGAUCAGCUGAAGUUCAGCUUAGGAAGGCCCUACAGCUGCAAAAGAAACGUUUUUUCAAAAACAGUACCACCGCGAACAGCAGACCUUAAUUAGUAAAUUUAAAAACUAAAAUGA